GGCUCUCAGUCCCCGCCUCACGGGGAGUGCCUCCCCCCACUGCGAUGGGGGUCCUAAGAGCCAGGGGGGAAGAGGGGCUGGCUCUCAGUCCCUUCCUCGCGGGGGGUGCCUCCCGCCUCUGCGAUGGGGCUCCUAAGAGCCAGGGGGGGAAGACGGGCUCGCUCUCAGUAGCCGCCUCGCGGGGGGUGCCUCCCGCCCUGCGAUGGGGGUCCCAAGAGCCAGGGGGGGAUGAGGGGCUGGCUCUCUGUACUCGCCUCUCGAUGGGUGCCUCCCCGCCUGCGAUUGGGGUCCUAAGAGCCAGGGGGUAAGAGGGCCUAGCUCUGAGUCCCUGCCUCUCGGGGGGGUGCCUCCCCACCCUGCGAUGGCGGUCCCAAGUGUCAGGGGGGGAAGAGGGGGUGGCUGUCACUCCUCGGCUCGUGGAGGCUGUCUCCCACCACUGCGAUGGGGGUUCUAAGAGCCAGGGGGGAAGAGGGGCUGGUUCUCAGUCCCUGCCUCAGUGGGGGUGCCUCCCCCUCUGCGAUGGGGGUCCUAAGAGCCAGCGGAGGAAGAGGGGCUGGCUCUCAGUUCCCGCCUUUUUUUUUUUUCUCAGUGUUUUAGACGCCCAGUUGCACAACUUGAUUGCCUUACAAAUGACCUGCUUCCAGGAUGCGGAAAUUCCUAAUUUCUUCUGUGACCCUUCUCAACUCCCCCAUCUUGCAUGUUGUGACACCUUCACCAAUAACAUAAUCAUGUAUUUC
rnacentral:lncRNA from 1 species